rnacentral:lncRNA from 1 species
AAAAAUGUUUUAAAUGAAUAAAAUAAAAAUGUUAAAAGAAAAUUAAAUGAAAAACAAGAGAAAAUAUGAAUUAAAUGCAAAAAUGAUUUUUAAAGAUAUGGAAAAAUUCUAUGUGAUAGAAAAUAGUUUUAGGAAAUUAUGGGAAAAAAUUGGAUUGAAAAAUAAUAAGAGAGCUAUUUAAAAUUCAUUUUGGAAGAAAAGAAAAUAAAAUGAAAUAAAAAAG